rnacentral:rRNA from 1 species
AGACGGAGGGCGCAAGCGUUGUUCGGAAUUACUGGGCGUAAAGGGCGGGUAGGCGGUCCGUUAAGUCGUUUGUGAAAAUCCGGGGCUCAACCCCGCGAAAUGCAGACGAUACUGGCAGACUGGAGACCGGUAGAGGCUAGCGGAAUUCCUGGUGUAGCGGUGGAAUGCGUAGAUAUCAGGAAGAACACCUGUGGCGAAGGCGGCUAGCUGGGCCGGGUCUGACGCUGAACCGCGAAAGCGUGGGGAGCAAACAGGAUUAGAAACCCCAGUAGUCC